UGCGAAAUAACAGCAGCCUAGCUGUUGCCCG
rnacentral:piRNA from 1 species